CCUCCUUCUCUCGCACGAACCUUCUGAGUCGCGGUGAGCUUUGAGGCAUGCGCUAAGGGGAAAGGUUGCCUUUUCCCUGAACUGUGGCAAUUCCAGUUAUGGAUGAGGAGCGAAAACAACAAAUAUGAGCUUCCCAGUCUCCAUCGAAGAGGCGGUUCCCCCCAGACACAAGUGUGCUAGAAAGGAUUUAUUACUGCACAUGCCCAGUGAUUAAUAGGCAGAUACGUCAGAUGUCUCAAUGUUUGUUGUCCUGCACAAAAGGCGGAUGGACACAUUUGGUCUGGGGAAAUUGAUGAAUCAGCUGAAAGCCCCCAGCAGGAGACCAGAAACAUCAGCGGUUCAAAACAGGCCAGAUGACCUCCUUCAAACACACACCUAAACCAUUCUCAGGGCCUCUACUGUGAGCCUCAGACACACAUGAGAGACCCUGGGUCUCUCCGUGUGAUCUAUGUCAGUCAUCUUAGGGGUGUAUCGACCACUGGCGAUGUUUCCACUUACUCCUCUUUAGAAUGAAAGAGAGUUCACAAAGGCUACUGUGUCAUGAAGCAUAAGGGAACCGGGAGGUUGGGUGAUUCACCUGCUUGGAGAUGUUGGGAAGGAAAACAAAAUGGCAACAAUUAGAAAAAGUGACUGUGUACCUACUCCGUUGAUUACUCCUCUUGAGAUCGAUAGAUACCUAUACGCAUAUACACAGACGUACAUGCAUAUAUAGACAUACGCGCACACGUCUGUCUGUGUGCACGUCGUAUGGGAAACUACGUACAGACCGGCGGUGGAGGCAUUAAUUUGCGUUCAGAAGAAAACACUGAAUCUCAGAGGUUAGGAAACUUGCUCGUUGACACAGACUCUGUAAAUGACAAAUCUCAUGACUUGGGGCACGUCUCGAACUGUUCUGAGCCUUAGCUGAAAUGAAAAUCGAUGCUUGCCACCGGGAAUCCUUGAAACACUGUACCUGAGACCACCUCUGGGCCUGACACGAAGCAGCGGGUCGUUACACGUAUGUUGCGAUAAAUUUGGCCCCGGGGACCGCCAGGUGCCAUCUCCAGGCGGAUGGACCCUGGAGGAGCCGAAAAGCCACUCCCUGUUUAACUCUGGGGCCGCCGUAAAGGUGACUGUGCGCACUACUGGAAUGGAUUCUCUGUGAUACGAGCAGAAGUCAGAAUACAGCAUGCCACCCUCAUUACGCUUUAAUUGAACUACAAUGUACAUCACCGCUUGGCAUAGGCCCUUUGAAGUGCGGGCAUCACCACCCUGCCUCAUGGGAACGUGCGCCGUUACCACCAGCGUAACUGUUGAGCAACUGACGCAUUCCCAGCACCGAUAUUUCAGCAGGUAGGGAAGAUAAUUAGGAGAAGAUUUUGAUCUUGCUGACUUGUGGUGAAAAGCAGGGUAUCGAGGCAUAUGAAUACAGACACAAUCAAGUCAUAUUAAAGUCUACCAUGAAAGCUCCCUCUAAUAUGCAGGACGAAAAAGCAGUAAAAACAAAGCUAUUUCCAGUCUGAAGAGGGGCAAAUGCUACCCUUUGAUCCCUGACAUCAUAUGACAGGGAAACAAAGCACGCAGACAAAUCACCCUGUAUGGUAAUCCUCCUCCUUUGAAAUUUUGUGUGUGGCAACCAAAUAAGUCGCUGCUGCUUUAAAAAGUGCAUCCACUUCGUUCAUGCAACAAACGUUUGCCAAAUGACUAACCCGUGCCAGGCACCGUGUUAGGCCCGUGGACCUUUGCGGGCAACUGGUCACAGUAGACUGGGAAAGAUGGAAACAUUUUUUUCAGAUGAUUACAGCACAGCGUGUUAAGCAUCAAGCAAGGUUAGCGAGGGUGCCUUUGAAGCAAAGGAGGGGAGCACUGUGAUAGACCGGUAGAGGGAGGGCAGGUGCAUGUUGAAGUCAAGGGUGGCUUCCUGGAGGAGGAGGCAUUUGAUGACCAAAUAGGAUUCAGCUGUGUUAAAGGGGAAUGGCUGUUUCCACAGGGCAAGAGCUUGUGGAAAGGCACAGAGGCAUAAGGAAACCCAAGGAACAGCAGGAAGUUUAAUUCACUGCCGUUUUGAUGUAAGUGGUAGGGCCGUGUGGGAAAUGAGGACAAAUGAGGCCAGAACACUGAUGUGUGCUCUGCCAUGGGAUUUGUUCUUUAGCCUCAGGGAACUGCAACAUCUCUGGGUGGAUUUUUAGAAUCAAGCGUCUAUCUUCGAAGAUCGCCAGAAUGGAUGAUGAAUUACACCCAAGGGGAAGGCUUGGAAAGCAGGAACUCAGCUAGGAGGCUGUUGUGAUCACCAGGAGAGGAUUCCUAAAGAUCUAGACUGAGAUGCUGGGAGGGGCAGUGGCAAUGAAAGAGGCAGCUAGAGGACCAUCUCUCUUCUUAGAGGAUGAACUCAGAGCAGCCUGAACUGAGAGCUAAGACUGUAUUUUAAGCAAACAAUCGAAGCUCGUAUUUAAUGAAACUGUUCAUUAAGACCACCUUGGUUUAAUAUAUGGGAUAUAUGCGUUCUUGAAAAAAUUCUCCAUGUAGAUUAGAUUCUCAUAAAGUAAAUCACAGCUGAAUGUGUCAGAAGGGCUCGUUAUUUAAUACACUCUUAUUCUGAAUGAUUAGAAUAUAAAUAAUCACCUUCUAGCUUAUUUGCUUAUUUAAUUUGAGUUUUCAUGUUUUGGAUAGCUCAAAGCAUGUUUCAUAUGCCUUUUCCACCAGUUCCAUUUUAUUUGGUCAAAUGAUAUACUUUGUAAUAACGUAUAGAUAGUUCUCAUCAACUAUAGGAGUGUUUAUCCACAUUGCUUCAAUUCCAGCAAGGUUCUGGUUAAUUUUAGUUGUUUACCUAUAAACUCAAGUUAAUAUGAAUGAACCAUUUACUAUGAGAUUAUUUGUGAACGGCAUGAAAGUGUUUUUGACGGAAUUAUGGAAGGACGGAUGCACCAAUAAGAAAACAGUGACUCCUUAGUGGAUAGAUGGGGAGAUGUGGAAUUCGUAGACUCUUACACCUUCAAUAAACCCUGAAUAGUAAAGUCAUGUGGGGAAAUUGAGGCUCAGAAAGACUAAAAAACUGAGCCACAGAAACCAGCUGGAUCACUUUAUAAACAAUUUAAUGCCACUUACAUCGUACAGAUAAUAGAUAGACUUGGAUAAAUAGACAAAUACUAAAAUAAUCGUGUACUUCUAGAGCAAACCA